UACGUAGGGUGCGAGCGUUAAUCGGAAUUACUGGGCGUAAAGCGUGCGCAGGCGGUGAUGUAAGACCGAUGUGAAAUCCCCAGGCUUAACCUGGGAACUGCAUUCGAGACUGCAUUGCUAGAGUAUGGGAGAGGGAAGUGGAAUUUCCGGUGUAGCGGUGAAAUGCGUAGAUAUCGGAAGGAACAUCAGUGGCGAAAGCGACUCCUGGACCAAUACUGACGCUCAUGUGCGAAAGCGUGGGGAGCAAAACAGG
rnacentral:rRNA from 1 species